GCCGGCUCUGCGCCGCAGCCCGGGAGCGCCGGCCGCAAGGGAAAGGCGGGCGAGAGGGGCGCGGAGAUCCGCUUCACCCUCCGCCUGCUCGGCUCCGUGUUCCCCCCGGCCGGGGCAGCGGCCGGGGAGGAUCCGGGCCGGGGGGCGGUGCAGCGGGAGGCGCAGGCUCGGGCGGGAGGCUGGAGCAGCCGGGGAGGCGUUGAACACCGAUGGCCCUGCUGAAGCUGUAGAUAAAAGCACGACCUCAGCAGAUACAGUUCUCAGUGUCUUAAGGACUCCAAAGAAGAAUCUGUCAGGACCCUGAGGAAAACGACUCCAGAAAAAGCAGCACCUUCAGAGCAAAGAUGAACAUCGGGAAAGCUUCCAGUGCCUUUAACAUCAGCAAUGGAACAGAUCUAGCUAUUGGCUUUGUCUCUUCCACAGUAGCUGUCCUUCUGUUUGGGACAAACUUUGUGCCUGUUAAGAAAUUUGAUACUGGUGACGGCAUGUUCUUCCAAUGGAUUCUCUGUGCUUCCAUAUGGAUCGUUUCUUUGGUGGUCAAUUUAAUCCAGAAUUGUCCCCGGUUUUGGCCUCUUGCUAUGGUUGGGGGUUUUGUGUGGGCUACAGGCAAUGUUACAGUUGUCCCUAUUGUUAAAACUGUUGGCUUAGCUCUUGGUCUUUUGAUAUGGGCUUCUUUUAAUCUGCUGACAGGUUGGGCCAGUUCAAGGUUUGGUUGGUUUGGAAUUGACCCAGAAGAGGUAUCAAGACCAAUCUUGAAUUAUAUUGGAGCUGGACUUUCACUAGUAAGUGCUGUCAUAUUUCUUUUUAUAAAAACUGAAGUCCAGAGUUCUUCAUCCUCAUCAGAAAGCACACCUUUACUGAGAGAAAAUUCUAUUAAUGUUUCUGAAGAUACCUCUGAUGAUUCAUGGGUGAACAGACUUUCUCCAGCAAAAAAAAGACUCAUAGGAUGUAGCCUGGCUGUAGUAGCUGGAAUACUCUACGGUUCCAGUUUUGUACCAGUACUUUACAUUAAGGACCAUGGAAGAAGAAAUGAAACUAUGUACACAGGAGCAAGUCAAUUUGAUUUAGAUUAUGUUUUUGCACACUUCAGUGGAAUAUUUCUUACAAGUACGAUCUACUUUUUGAUCUAUUGUGCAAUCAGGAAAAAUAAACCUAAUGUUUAUCCUCAAGCCAUAUUGCCAGGCUUUGUUUCUGGUGUGCUUUGGGCAAUAGCCAAUUGCUGCUGGUUCAUAGCCAAUCACUACCUCAGUGCUGUGGUCAGCUUUCCAAUAAUUACAGCAGGUCCUGGCCUUGUUGCUGCAGUGUGGGGAGUCCUCGUAUUUAAGGAAAUCAAGGUGAAGCAUUCCUCAGGUUCCCUUAGCUAAUCUGUCAAGAAUCCAUUGGCACCUAAUUAGCCAUUAGAGAUCAUCUUUCCCAGUAUUUUUGGGACUGAAAAACUAUGUGUUACUCUCAGUGGCGUUUUGCAUCAUUUUGGCUGGAUCACUCUCCACAGCUUUUUCGAAAGUUUGAAAGGAAGUCCUGGACCAGUAGAUGGUGCUACUGUUUUACUAUAACCAGAAAGACAGUAUUGGUAUAUCACAAUACAUAGCAAUGUUCAAAAUGUAUGUCCAGCAUUUACCCUAACUUGCUAAAGGCAAGUGAAAAAGAAAACCUUUGCUACAUGUUCCUAUUUGGCAUGAAAGAAAAUCGGGAAAUGUUUGUUUCUGCAUUUCUUGGAACAGUAAGAAUAUAAAAGGAUUUUAUUAAAUAAAGCUGAAUUAUUUUAUGGUUACUAAUAGUUUUUUCCUGGUGCAGGUACUAAACUUCAUGUCAUCAUAAAUUGCGGUUCACUGUUGUGGUGGUGGCCAAGGGAUUUUAAUUCUUCAUCCAUAAUACUGUUUGUAUUUGCAAGCUGAUUUGUUUUAUUAUAAGAUUCUGACUUAUUGACUUGAAUUUGAAUUAUGUCUUAGAAUAUUCUUUACGUAACUGAUACAUAUGAAAAUGUGAAGCAUUUCUUUACUUAGGGGCAUUAUUCUUUAAAGUUAUCAGCUUACAUAAAAGCUUUCUCUUCCAAUCACUUCAGAAUUGUGAAGGAAAUACAGAAAAUAAAGGUGCUGUAAAAUAAA